rnacentral:rRNA from 1 species
GAUGAACGCUAGCUACAGGCUUAAAAAAGGCAAGAAGAGGGACCGGCGCCCGGGUGAGUAACACGUAUUAAAUCUGCCCUUUCCUCGGGGAUAGCCUUUCGAAAGAACGAUUAAUACCCGAUAUAAAGGAUGGGGAUGCGUUCCAGGAGGUUGUUGGUGAGGUAACGGCGCACCAAGCCUUCGAUAGAGUGGGGGUUGGAGAGGAAGGUCACCCAGAUGUCAACUGAACCCCGGUCCAAACUCCUACGGGAGGCAGCAGCGAGGAAUAUUGGUCAAUGGGCGCUUGCCUGAACCAGCCAAGUAGCGUGACGGAUGCAGGCUUAUGGGUCUUAAACUUCUUUUAUAUACAGUUAUCUAUUAUAUGAAUAAGGAGCGGCUAACUCCGUGCCCGCCGCCGCGGUAAUAC